rnacentral:lncRNA from 1 species
UUCUCGAUUCGCUCCUAUAGGCCUCAUCAGGAUGUUCAAUUCAGGUGGAGCGGUCAAAGAAGUAGGUUAUGAAAAGGUUGAUGCGGGGAACAUACGCAUCAAAACACGGGGAUGUGGUACUUUUGGAGCCUAUUCAUCAGUCAGACCCAAAAGAAUCACAGUUGACACAGAGGAAGUCCAGUUUCAUUUUGAAGAAGCCUCUGGAUUGGUAACCCUCGAUCUCUCAGUCCCAGAGAGAGAGUUGUACCUCUGGACCAUCAACAUUGAAGUCUAAACAAUUAGUUACAGCAUUGAAGGCCGGGCCCCAUUAAUUUAGAACUCUGUAAACCUCCUUUAACACAACUACUAUUUCGUUGCAACGGUAAAAGAUGGCAUGCCCAAAAAUCAGCGGAUGGUUUUGGAUUGGAUAGGCUCUAUAUGUUUCGCAAACCCAUCAUCUCGAAGAACCUUUUGCUUCAUACUCCUAGAUUUUUUACCAUUUCAUCUUAUGAACGAGACAAAGAUAUUCCAUAACGAAAAUAAUGUUGGAAUGUAUGCCCUAAAACAAUGUAUUUGUUUUUAUAUUAUACAUUCCUUAUUAUAUGUUUUGUAUUUUAAUAACUUCUUAUUUAUCUGUUAAAUACUCUAUUAGAUACAACCGAUAAAGUCCUUAUAAUAUUACUAAUGUGAUGAUAGUCACAAGAGUUGGUGACUAUGAGAUAUCAAUCACAUUUAUAGUAAUAUUAUUAAAAUUCCCUAGUUUUUGUACUAAUGAAAUAGGACGUCUUUAGUACGGUAAAACUAGUACACAGUUAGCCUCUAAUUAAUGUAAUUAGUGGUUGUUCUCAUCAACUAUGGUAUGAAGAUACUUAGGCUAAUGUAUAGAUGAUUUGAAAAGUACAAAUGCAUUGGAGUGAUCCGUUUAGAGAUCCCGUCAGGAUAUCUAUCUAGUGCCAAUGGUGUAUCUCUAGUGAAAAAUUGUGUAAGUGAUCCUACGACUUGAGAUCACCAUAGUAUCUUGAGUGUGAAUCGCUACAUUUUGACUCUAUUUACUUGUUACUCUUCGUGAGUACCUUAAAGUGUAGAAGUUGGAUGUAGUGUGAAGCACAUAAAGAAAAUGGGUGAUCAAGAUAGGAUUUACCACUCUGAUAGAAGGAGUUGAUAUCCGGAUGGCCACUAGUGAGAAAUUAACCCUAAAGUCGACUAUUAGGUAAAUUGAAGAAUGUCUUCAAUUUAACCUAAUUAAGGGUAAAUUUCGGGAACUAGAAAAUUUAAUUAGUCAUCAGGGAAUUGACACUUAUUCCUUAUUCCUGACUAAUUGGAUUUCUUUGGUGAAAGGAUAAUAAUUACACGGUAAUUUUUCACGGAAAGGUUAGGUCAAAUUCCCUUGACUAAUUCCGAAUAAUUGGGCAAUCACGAUGUGUUGCUAGACACCGCUCGUGAUUUAUAAUUAUGGAUUAAUUAUAUAUUAUAAGUUAUGAUAAAAUAAAGUCGUUUAUUUUAUCUAAUUAUUAAACCAUAAUUAUUACCAAUGUAUUCGGGACCUAUUGGGUCACACGCAAUAGCACCCUUCAUUUUUGAAGUUGUUGUAAUCGCUAAUAACGCCUUGUGACAUAUUUGCAGUUUACUAAAGAUUUGGAAUCUCAAUGAUUUGAAUGGAGUGAUUGGAGUGUUCAACUGUCAAGGGGCUAGAUGGUGUAGAAUUGGAAAGAGAAACCUCAUUCACGACGAACGACCGGAUACAAUAACUGGAACCGUUCGGGCUAAUGAUGUGGACUACUUACCAAGAAUUGCUCCUGAUGGAUGGAGAGGCGAUGCUGUUGUCUAUUCUCAUAUUCAUGGUGGAACUGAAACACGCGCCCGCCCUUUUUCAUCAAAGGCUUAGUUGAAUUUUUCUUUAAUUUGCUUUGUUAUCUACUGCAGGAAAUCUAGUCUACCUUCCAAGCAAUGCUGCUCUGCCAAUUACACUGAUGGCACGGGAGUACGAGGUUUUCACGGUUGUUCCUGUCAAGGAAACAUCAAAUGGUUCUCGAUUCGCUCCUAUAGGCCUCAUCAGGAUGUUCAAUUCAGGUGGAGCGGUCAAAGAAGUAGGUUAUGAAAAGGUUGAUGCGGGGAACAUACGCAUCAAAACACGGGGAUGUGGUACUUUUGGAGCCUAUUCAUCAGUCAGACCCAAAAGAAUCACAGUUGACACAGAGGAAGUCCAGUUUCAUUUUGAAGAAGCCUCUGGAUUGGUAACCCUCGAUCUCUCAGUCCCAGAGAGAGAGUUGUACCUCUGGACCAUCAACAUUGAAGUCUAAACAAUUAGUUACAGCAUUGAAGGCCGGGCCCCAUUAAUUUAGAACUCUGUAAACCUCCUUUAACACAACUACUAUUUCGUUGCAACGGUAAAAGAUGGCAUGCCCAAAAAUCAGCGGAUGGUUUUGGAUUGGAUAGGCUCUAUAUGUUUCGCAAACCCAUCAUCUCGAAGAACCUUUUGCUUCAUACUCCUAGAUUUUUUACCAUUUCAUCUUAUGAACGAGACAAAGAUAUUCCAUAACGAAAAUAAUGUUGGAAUGUAUGCCCUAAAACAAUGUAUUUGUUUUUAUAUUAUACAUUCCUUAUUAUAUGUUUUGUAUUUUAAUAACUUCU